GAUUAUGGCUCAGGACGAACGCUGGCGGCGUGCCUAACACAUGCAAGUCGAGCGAGGAGAUCCUUCGGGAUGAUCCUAGCGGCGGACGGGUGAGUAACACGUGGGCAACCUGCCUCAUAGAGAGGAAUAGCCUUCCGAAAGGGAGAUUAAUACCUCAUAACAUUGCAGUUUCGCAUGGAACAGCAAUUAAAGGAGCAAUCCGCUAUGAGAUGGGCCCGCGGCGCAUUAGCUAGUUGGUGAGGUAACGGCUCACCAAGGCGACGAUGCGUAGCCGACCUGAGAGGGUGAUCGGCCACAUUGGGACUGAGACACGGCCCAGACUCCUACGGGAGGCAGCAGUGGGGAAUAUUGCACAAUGGGGGAAACCCUGAUGCCAGCAACGCCGCGUGAGUGAUGACGGCCUUCGGGUUGUAAAGCUCUGUCUUCAGGGACGAUAAUGACGGUACCUGAGGAGGAAGCCACGGCUAACUACGUGCCAGCCGCCGC
rnacentral:rRNA from 1 species